UGGUGACACCUACCCUCCCCUGAGGAACAAGUGGAGUCCAAGGUGCCAUUUCAUGCUAUAUAUCUACCACCUUCCCAGGGCCCAUUUUUCGUUCAUGGAUGGAUAACAGCUUCACAAUAGUUACUUCCAGAGUCUUAUUUGCUCGAUGAGACACAAGAAUCCAGUUCUUGCAAGGAAAAAGCAAAUUAAAAAGUUAUUAAAGCAUGUAUCGCCACUUGACAAGCCCCUCUGGAUCCAUUUGAGCUUAUGACCAUGUUUUGCUGCUAACUGGGUUCAAUGGAGCAAGAACUUCUGGUUGAAGUACCUACUAGUAUGUAUUGUUGAGAGAGGAAGCCAGCAAAAACUGGUCAUUCUAUUUAAUUAUUUUUAAUUUAUGGUUUAAAAAAUGUAAGCUCUAGUCAAAAUUUCUAAUAACAGUCGCUAUCUAGCUUU